rnacentral:rRNA from 1 species
GGGUUGUGAGGUUAAGCGAAUAAGCGUACACGGUGGAUGCCUAGGCAGUCAGAGGCGAUGAAGGACGCGCUAAUCUGCGAAAAGCGUCGGUAAGCUGAUAUGAAGCGCCAUAACCGGCGAUGUCCGAAUGGGGAAACCCAGUGCGAUGCGUCGCACUAUCAUUAACUGAAUCCAUAGGUUAAUGAGGCGAACCGGGGGAACUGAAACAUCUCAGUACCCCGAGGAAAAGAAAUCAACCGAGAUUCCCCCAGUAGCGGCGAGCGAACGGGGAGCAGCCCAGAACCAGCAUCAGCGAUGGCAUCAGAGGAACGGUCUGGAAAGGCCGGCGAGAGAGGGUGACAGCCCCGUACUCGAAGGUGGCAUGGCUGUGAGUUCGACGAGUAAGGCGGGACACGAGAAAUCCUGUCUGAAGAGGGGGGGACCAUCCUCCAAGGCUAAAUACUCCUGACUGACCGAUAGUGAACCAGUACCGUGAGGGAAAGGCGAAAAGAACCCCGGCGAGGGGAGUGAAAGAGAACCUGAAACCGUGUACGUACAAGCAGUGGGAGCC